CGCGACCGGCAGCCUCUGCACCGCGACCUGCGGCGGCUCCUCCUCGGGCACCACGGCCUCGACCCGGGUUAACAUUACCCCGGCCUCCCUGUCCGCGACCCCCACCUGGACCAUUGCGUCCGGCCACGCGGCCUGCUGGGCCACCACCACGUCCACCACCCCGGCCACGGCCUCCAGCACCACGGCCCGCACCCGCGUUGGCCGGCUGAAUAGGGGCAGCGACGGGCGGCGCCUGGACAGGUCCAGCGUGUACUGGAGCGGGUGCCGCCACAGCAGCAGCAAAGGAAGGU
rnacentral:lncRNA from 1 species